rnacentral:rRNA from 1 species
AUAGAUACCCGGUAGUCCACGCCGUAAACGGUGGGCACUAGAUGUGGGGCUCAUUCCAUGAGUUCCGCGUCGCAGCUAACGCAUUAAGUGCCCCGCCUGGGGAGUACGGCCGCAAGGCUAAAACUCAAAGGAAUUGACGGGGGCCCGCACAAGCGGCGGAGCAUGCGGAUUAAUUCGAUGCAACGCGAAGAACCUUACCAAGGCUUGACAUAUACGGUCUAUCCCUAGAGAUAGGGAGUGCUUCGGCGCCGUAUACAGGUGGUGCAUGGUUGUCGUCAGCUCGUGUCGUGAGAUGUUGGGUUAAGUCCCGCAACGAGCGCAACCCUCGUUCUAUGUUGCCAGCACGUAAUGGUGGGGACUCAUAGGAGACUGCCGGGGUCAACUCGGAGGAAGGUGGGGAUGGCGUCAAAUCAUCAUGCCCCUUAUGUCUUGGGCUUCACGCAUGCUACAAUGGCCGGUACAAAGGGCUGCAAUACCGUAAGGUGGAGCGAAUCCCAAAAGCCGGUCUCAGUUCGGA